UGCAUGCGUGUGUGUCAAACUCUCAGUUGUAAUGCCGGUUCCCAUGUUUUUACCUUCCAAGAAGAGCUGGAGAAAAACAUGUGACGGGAGCGGGGAAUGUAAAAGACGCCACUAUGUUUGACAGUCGCCGUGGCGUGAUCAGGUAGAGAGAGACCCAAGUGCAUGCUGUUGCAAUGCUUGUGUGCUGGGGCAGAUGAGAGGACACCUGAGAAGUCCUUGAGAAGCGCAUCAGUGUUGCUCAGAUGUGGGGACGAAGAUGGGGGAGAAGCUGGAGCCAAGUGCGGCGAGGGCUGACCCAAGCUGGAGGAGGUACAGGGCACAGCCGGGGAGGCCGAAGAUGAGGUGGUGGGAAGAUUCUGGAAGUACUGCUCUCCUGCUUCGUCCUCCUCAAAGCUGCCCCAGGAAUAUACCUGCGGACGACAUGGGAGGGCGUGCAGUGUGCAAACUGGUGAGCCGUGAUCAGGUGGGUGUGGCUAACUGGCAAAGUGGAGGGAAGUGGAGAACCUGUUCAAGCUCCAGUUCGAGUGGUCGGUAACCUUUUGACACGACCCCGGGUCUGGCGUCCAGAAUCACCCCGAGAUGGGGCUGGGCUAAUUGCUGCCAGUGAUGCAGGGUGGCCGAGCCUACGGUGGAAAAACACGUAUGACGGCUUUGUGCUGAUGGUGCCCGUGAUGUGAUUGGAUGAGAUACAUAAAAAGUGAGAGAUGGUGGUGAUCAGAGUGAACAAAAUAUGAUAAGACAGCCAAAAAGCAACAGAAGAAGAAAUGAAAUUUGAAUGACAGAGAAUGUUUUAUUAGUCAGACAUGGUGAAAUGAAGAAAGGGAAAGUACACAAUGUGGAGCGAAAGAACAUAAAAAAGAGGGGACUAAAAUCAAAGCAAAAAUGAAAAUGACAGCAUUUGGUGAAGCGGCACAAUAA